CCUACGGGGUGCAGCAGUGAGGAAUAUUGGUCAAUGGCCGGAAGGCUGAACCAGCCAAGCCGCGUGAAGGACGAAGGUGCCAAGUAUUGUAAACUUCUUUUGUCAAGGGACAAAAUCAGGCACGCGUGCCUGACCGAGGGUACUUGAAGAAAAAGCAUCGGCUACCUCCGUGCCCGCAGCCGCGGUAAUACGGAGGAUGCGAGCGUUAUCCGGAUUUAUUGGGUUUAAAGGGUGCGUAGGCGGACUGUUAAGUCAGCGGUAAAAGCCCGGGGCUCAACCCCGGCGAGCCGGUGAAACUGGCUGUCGUGAGAUGUCGAGAGGUAUGCGGAAUGCGCAGUGUAGCGGUGAAAUGCUUAGAUAUUGCGCAGAACUCCGAUUGCGAAGGCAGCAUACCGGCGGCGAGCUGACGCUGAGGCACGAAAGCGUGGGUAUCGAACAGGAUUAGAUACCCUUGUAGUC
rnacentral:rRNA from 1 species